UCAACAUGAGAGUUUGAUCCUGGCUCAGAACGAACGCUGGCGGCAGGCCUAACACAUGCAAGUCGAGCGCACCCUUCGGGGUGAGCGGCGGACGGGUGAGUAACGCGUGGGAACCUGCCCAGGGCUCUGGGAUAACUGCUGGAAACGGCAGCUAAUACCGGAUACGCCGUAUUGGGAAAGAAAUUCGGCCUUGGAUGGGCCCGCGUUGGAUUAG
rnacentral:rRNA from 1 species